rnacentral:rRNA from 1 species
GGAGUUUGGUCCGUGUCUCAGUACCAAUGUGGGGGACCUUCCUCUCAGAACCCCUACUGAUCGUCGCCUUGGUGGGCCGUUACCCCGCCAACAAGCUAAUCAGACGCAUCCCCAUCCCUUAGCGGUGAACCUUUGCUUUCCAUCAGAUGCCAUCCAGAAAGAACAUAGAGUAUUAAUCCGACUUUCGCCGGGCUAUCCUCUACUAAGGGGAAGGUUGGAUACGCGUUACUCACCCGUACGCCGGUCGCCAUCAACAAAAGACAAGACUUUCGUUCAUG